rnacentral:misc_RNA from 1 species
UGGCUCUCGCAUCGAUGAAGAACGCAGCGAAAUGCGAUAAGUAAUGUGAAUUGCAGAAUUCAGUGAAUCAUCGAAUCUUUGAACGCACCUUGCGCUCCUUGGUAUUCCGAGGAGCAUGCCUGUUUGAGUGUCUUGAAGUCAUCAACCCCACCCGUUUUGCGCGGGGCGGGAAGUUGGAGAUGGGGCGUUUGCCGCCGCGAGGUGGCUCCCCUCAAAUGCUUCGGUUGGACCUUGUGGGUUGAACCCGUCUGGGCGUUGUACCAUCCUCGCUCUCUAGCGGUUCCCCGCUGCAGUGUCCAUCCACGACCGGCCUAUGGAGUGGCGGUCAACGAAAGGGGCUCCCCUUUUGAAAUCUGACCUCAAAUCAGGUAGGACUACCCGCUGA